rnacentral:rRNA from 1 species
GACGAACGCUGGCGGCGCGCUUAACACAUGCAAGUCGAACGGAAAGGCCUGCUUUCCCUUGUGGAUUGCGGGUACUCGAGUGGCGAACGGGUGAGUAACACGUGAGUGAUCUGCCCCCAACUUGGGUAUAAGCCUGGGAAACUGGGUCUAAUUCCCGAUAGGACUGCAGGGUGGUGCCUGUGGUGGAAAACGAUUUUCUAGUGGUUGGGGAUGAGCUCGCGGCCUAUCAGCUUGUUGGUGGGGUAAUGGCCUACCAAGGCGGCGACGGGUAGCCGGCCUGGGAGGGUGGACGGGCACAUUGGGACUGAGAUACGGCCCAGACUCCUACGGGAGGCAGCAGUGGGGAAUAUGGCACAAUGGGCGGAAGCCUGAUGCAGCGACGCCGCGUGGGGGAUGACGGCCUUCGGGUUGUAAACUCCUUUCGACCGCGAGGAAGCCACCUGGUUGGAAGGGUGGUGACGGUAGUGGUAGAAGAAGCACCGGCUAACUACGUG